UAUAUCAACACAAGAGUUGCGUUCUAGUCACAUACAGACAUAUAACGGAACCAGGGACGCAUGUAAGGAGUUAAACUUUAAAAGGUCUAGAGAGUAUGGAGUUCAACUUUAAAAGGUCUAGAGAGUAAGACAAAAGGAGACAGAGAGAGAGUCACAGGGUGACUGAAUGAACAUAAUCGAUAACGUAUCAGUCUUCACUGACAACAGUAGAGUUGCCCACAAACCACUAGCCUAAACAUGUCGGACCUGACCUACGGAGAGCAGACUAACAGGAAUAAACUGACUCAUCACAACAUGAGCGGAGAUGAACUUGUUUUCUUUGUCAAUGGAAAAAAAAGAUAACAGAGAAACAUGCUGAUCCAGAGAUGACACUGCUGACAUACCUCAGGAGAAAGUGUAUCCUGAAAUACCUCUCACACACAGCCCCGGGAAGUAGGGUGUUGAGGGUGCUGAUUUAAUACCAUAGACACAGGAAGUAGGGGUGCUGAGGGUGCUGAUUUAAUACCAUAGACACAGGAAGAAGGGUUGUUGAGGGUGCUGACUUAAUACCAUACCCACAGGAAGUAGGGGUGUUGAGGGUGCUGAUUUAAUACCAUAGCCACAGGAAGUAGGGGUGUUGAGGAUGCUGAUUUAAAACCAUAGCCACAGGAAGUAGGGGUGUUGAGGGUGCUGAUUUAAUACCAUACCCACAGGAAGUAGGGGUGUUGAGGGUGCUGAUUUAAAACCAUAGCCACAGGAAGUAGGGGGGUUGAGGGUGCUGAUUUAAUACCAUAGCCACAGGAAGUAGGGGGGUUGAGGGUGCUGAUUUAAUACCAUAGCCACAGGAUGUAGGGGUGUUGAGGGUGCUGAUUUAAAACCAUAGCCACAGGAAGUAGGGAUAUUGAGGGUGCUGAUUUAAUACCAUAGCCACAGGAAGUAGGGGUGUUGAGGGUGCUGAUUUAAAACCAUAGCCACAGGAAGUAGGGAUAUUGAGGGUGCUGAUUUAAUACCAUAGCCACAGGAAGUAGGGGUGUUGAGGGUGCUGAUUUAAUACCAUAGCCACAGGAUGUAGGGGUGUUGAGGGUGCUGAUUUAAUACCAUAGCCACAGGAAGUAGGGGUGUUGAGGGUGCUGAUUUAAUACCAUAGCCACAGGAAGUAGGGGUGCUGAGAGGUGCUGAUUUAAUACCAUAGCCACAGGAAGUAGGGUGCUGAGGGUGCUGAUUUAAUACCAUGGCCACAGGAAGUAGUGGUGUU
rnacentral:lncRNA from 1 species